UACGUAGGGGGCAAGCGUUGUCCGGAAUCAUUGGGCGUAAAGCGCGUGUAGGCGGUUCGGUAAGUCUGCUGUGAAAGUCCAGGGCUCAACCCUGGGAUGCCGGUGGAUACUGUCGGACUAGAGUACGGAAGAGGCGAGUGGAAUUCCCGGUGUAGCGGUGAAAUGCGCAGAUAUCAGGAGGAACACCGGUGGCGAAGGCGGAUCUCUGGGCCUGUUCUGACGCUGAGGCGCGAAAGCUAGGGGAGCGAACAGG
rnacentral:rRNA from 1 species